rnacentral:rRNA from 1 species
GAUGAACGCUGGCGGCGUGCCUAAUACAUGCAAGUCGAGCGAACGGACGAGAAGCUUGCUUCUCUGAUGUUAGCGGCGGACGGGUGAGUAACAUGUGGAUAACCUACCUAUAAGACUGGGAUAACUUCGGGAAAUCGGAGCUAAUACCGGAUGAUAUUUUGAACUGCAUGGUUCAAAAGUUAAAGACGGUCGUGCGGUGACUUAUAGAUGGAUCCGCGCUUCAUGAGCUAGUUGGUAAGGUAACGGCUUACCAAGGCAACGAUGCUUAGCCGACCCGAGAGGGUGAUCGGCAACACUGGAACAGAGACAGAGUACAGACUCCUACGGGAGGCAGCAGUAGGGAAUCUUCCGCAAUGGGCGAAAGGCUGACGGAGCACCGCCGCGUGAAUGAUGAACGACUUCGGAUCGUAAAGCUCUGUUAUUAGGGAAGAACAUAUGUGUAAGUACCUGUGCACAUCUUGACGGUACCUAAACAGAAAGCCACGGCUAACUACGUG